CAUUGCGAAGGAUAAGAUUAAGACCUUAAUUUUCAAUG
rnacentral:ncRNA from 1 species